AAGGAUGUAAUGGUACCGACAAUCCUAUCCAUGUGGGUUAGGAAACUAUGACUUCAAGCAGAAGGUAGGGAAUCUGAGAGAAAAAAUUGAAGAUCACACUGAGCCUUGUAGUUGUCUGAGGAGGGUUCCUAAUUCUUCAAGUGAAAAUGGAUGAAAAGACUUAUCACCAAACAUUGAACUAGUUUUUCCUUUUUGUAUCUUUAGCCUGCAAAAAGAUGGAAUGGGUGCUAGAUAUUGUAAUCUAUAAUUCACCAUUGUCUAAAGCAAAGCAACAUUCUCUCUCUCUCUCUCUCUCUCUCUCUGGAUUUUCCCCUCUAAAUGCUUCAUUUCUUUCACCUACCAUGUAGCACUCCCUUUUGACAAAUGGGGUGGCUGCAAUCCCUCCUCUUCCCAUUGAAGAAGCUGUGGUUUCGGAUGCACUCAGCUCCAAGAAAGAGUAGAGGGAUAUACAUUUUGUAUGAGGAUGUGAAGUCCUGCCCAGAUGAGGAUGUACAUGUCCUUUGGUCCAUACUGGUGGAAUCCCAUCCAACCCAAAUUACAUCAAGACAAUGAAGCAUUUCAAGAAUAUCAAGCCCUUUAGUAUCAAUAUAUCAGAAAAAUAAAAAGCUAGUGGAAAUCAAAAUAUCCUUGUCAAUAGCCCCUCUAUUUCUCUUUGUUUGGAGCUACAUGUUGGCUUACUUAGAAUAAUAGGAGAAAAAGAAUAUGUAAAUUAACAGGUCUUUUACAGAGGUCCAUCUAAGAUAAUUAAUUUGGACUGAUAUGCUUUCCCCAUUGUAACCAAAAGAAAAGAAAAGAGCAGGUGUUUUCUUAAAGGUUUUGUUUGGCCAUAGCUUUGAAGUGAGUUGCUUGGUCUAUUUUCUGGCAGUUUUGACUCUUCUCCGGUGUUUGAUGCUUAGACUUUACCUACAUAUACUACUUUAAUAAUGGAGGCUUUCUUUCUUUC